rnacentral:rRNA from 1 species
AUGGAGGUAUUUAUUACGGAUGAUGGUGAGCCAGAGGCCUCCCUCCCCAUUGCCAAUACGCCACAGCCAUCGGGUCAGGAGGGCAAUGUUCAUGCGUCGGGGAGACAAGAUCCCAAGGCCCCCCUGGUCUUUGGGCUUGCAGAUGUCGGGCCAGCUCACCAUAUGGUACUUCUGCUUGUCGCCCUCGCCAGCCCAGAAGAACCUCGACUGGUAUUUGGCCACCUCCUGGUGGAGGGUCUCAUGCAAGCCGUAGAAGCUCAUGAGAAACCAGAGAAGGCUAGCAAGCGAGGAGUUGAUUAG